rnacentral:lncRNA from 1 species
AGCCCAGGAGCUCUAUACUCCAACCAUUACAACAGCUAUAGCUCGCAAUACCAUUUGUGGGCAGCAUCGCCGGGUAGAGGAAGAAGAGAAGCGGAGCAGCAGCAACACUGAUCAGAGGAAGCUGCAGCACAGAGCCAACAAGGAAAAGCAAAGUCUUCCAUAGCAACGUACGGGUACCUCGGUAGUAGCAAGAGCAGUAGCGGCGAGCUUGCUCUUAAAUAAAAUCUCACUUAUUAGUGAAGUGUUCACUUGGUAGUCGUUUCAUAAUAUAAGUCCCCCGUGUUCUCUCUCACAUGGACAGGAUUUAGAUCUCACCAUCCCUCUAUGGAAGCCUUCCUUGUCAGCU